rnacentral:lncRNA from 1 species
AUGACUAACGGUAAUUAAAGGAGUGUAAAGACUAAAAUGCCCUUAUACUUUAAUACAUAUGUUACUCCUUUCUCAACACUCCCCCUCAAGCUAGGUGGUGAGAAAAUGUUUAGAACUCCUAGCUUGGACAUUAGAUGUUCAUGUUGAAUUCUGUUGAGACCUUUAGUAAGAAUAUCUGCAGGUUGAUCUUUGCUAGGGAUGUACUUUAUUACUAUCAGUCCUUGUACUAUUCUUUCUCUUAUGAAGUGGCAAUCUAUUUCGAUGUGUUUGGUUCUCUCAUGGUAUACAGGAUUAGCUGCAAUCUGGAUAGCAACUUUACUAUCACUGUGUACUUCAAUGGGUAAGGUUACUUCAAUGCCAAUUUCUUUCAUGAGACCUUGUAGCCAAAUGAGUUCAGCUACUGUAGCUGCAAUGCUUCUGUAUUCAGCCUCUGCAGAACUUCUAGAUACUAUCGUUUGCUUCUUUGAUUUUCAGGCUACUAAUGAGUCUCCUAUCUUGAUUAAGUACCAUGUUACUGAUUUUCUGGAAAUUGGAUAUGCUGCCCAGUCUGCAUCACAGUAGGCAGUAAUGUUGUUGUUGUUUGAACUGGAUAAUAGAAUCCCUCUUCCUGGUUGAUUCUUGAUAUAUUUGACAAUCCUCAUUGCUGCUUCCAUAUGUGAUCUUUCAGGCUGUUGUAAGAACUGACUAAGUGUUUGAACACUGAAGGAAAUAUCUGGCCUGGUCAUUGUUAGAUAAAGUAGUCCGCCUAUCAAUCUUUGAUAUGAAUUAGUAUCUGCAGGAGGAUCAUAUGUUACCUGGUCUUUGCAGUGAUCAUCAUAUUCUCUGGUUGUCAGUUUUGUAUUAGUGUUUAGUGGAGUAGCUAUGGGUCUAGCAGCACUUAACCCAAGUUCUGAUAUAAGCUCUUGAGUAUACUUCCUUUGAUGCAUUAGUAUCCCUUGUUUAGAUCUUGCAAACUCAAUACCUAAGAAGUAUAUUAGUUCACCUGGAUCUUUCAUUUUAAACACCUGAUGCAAGUUGUUUUUUGUUUCUUCAAUCAAUUUCAAACUAUCACAUGUUAUCAACAUAUCAUCAACAGAUACUAAAACCAUAGUGAUACCCUCAAGAGUCUUCUUUAUAAAUAAAGAGUGAUCAAACUGACUUUGUUUAAAGUCAGAUUUUAUUAGAGCUUCAGUUAGCUUUGCAUUCCAUUGUCUUGGAGCUUGUUUUAACCCAUACAAGGAUUUGAUGAGCCUGCAUACUUUCUCCCUUGGCUCUUAAAUCCUUGUGGCAGCUCCAUGUAGAUUUCAUCAUGUAAGUACCCUUGAAGAAAUGCGUUAUACACAUCCAUUUGAUAUAUAUGCCAUUUUUCUUUUGCUGCAAUUGCAAGAGUUGUUCUCACAGUUUUCAUUUUAAUUACUGGAGAAAAAAGUUUCUUGAUAAUCAAUUUCUUCUUUUUGAUUGUACCCCUUUGCUACUAACCUAGCUUUAAACCUCUCAAUUUCACCUGAAACCUUAUACUUCACUUUAUAAAUUCACUUACACCCUAUUGGAGUUUUUCCUUCAGGCAAGAAAACUAUGUCCCAUGUAUGAUUAUUCUGUAAUGCAUCAAUUUAUGUUUUCAUUGCCUCUAUCCAUCUAGGAUCUCUUAUUGCUUCUGCAUAAGUUGUAGUCGCAUUAACAUUUGAGGAGGUAGUAAUAAAUGCUCUGUAUGAUGAAGACAAACCUUCAUAACUGAUGUAGUUUGAUAUAGGGUAUGGAACCUCUUGAUGAAUAUUGAGUGACACAAAAUCACUUAACCAUAUAGGUGGUCUUUUCUCUCUGUCGGAUCUUCUAUGAACUACUGGAUUUGUGUUCUGAAAAGAACUUGUAGUUGGUAUUUCAAGUCUCUCGGAAUUUCUAUUUUGAGGCUCUUGAUAUAUAUUGUCCAUGGAGUUACUCUGUAUAGGUUCAGAGAUAUGACCAAGUUCUAUUUCCAUAAUAUUAUUUGAAGGUUGAGCUGCUAUCUGAUUAUGUAUAUGUAUAUGAUCAGGAAUUGAUAAUUGAAGACCAUGUAACUGAGAAUUUGAAGUGGAGAAUAUAGGAGUUGAAUAGUCUUCUUUCCUUUUGAAAGGGAAUACAUCUUCUCUUAAAACUACAACUAUAUUAACAAAGAAUACCCUAUCCUGUAGGUCUUACAAUAGAUACCCUUUUUGGAUUUCUGCAUAUCCCAUAUGAACUGUAGUUUUGGUUCUUGAGGACAGCUUGUCAUGUUGAAGAACUAUCUUAGCAUAACAUAGGCAGCCUAGUAUUUUUAAGUGAGUAUAGGAAGAAGACUUUUGAUAUAAUUUUUCAUGGGGAGUCUAAUUGUUGAUAACAGUACUUGGAAGCCUAUUUAUUAGAUAAACAGUAUCAGUAACAUAGUGACCCCAAAACUUUAUAGGUAUUUCAGCUUGAAAUCUAAUUGCCCUGGUGACUUCUAAAAUGUGUCUGUGCUUUCUUUCAGUAACUCCAUUUUGCUGAGGAGUGUAAGCAUAUGAAGUUUGAUGAACAAUUCCAUACUUCUUAAACAUUUCAUUGCAUACUGAGUUUAUAAACUCAGUACCAUUAUCAGUUCUGAUAGUUCUAACAAUUUUGUUAAACUGAGUUUUAAUUAGAACUUAAAACUGUUGUAACACAACACAUACUUCUGACUUUUGUUUAAGCAAAAACACCCAAGUCAUUCUUGAAAAAUCAUCCACCACAGUUAAGAAGUACUUAUUACCAUCAUAUGUAGGAGUCUUGUAUGGUCCCCAUAAAUACAUAUGAACUAGAUCAAACUUGCUUACAGAUUUAAAGUUACUGAUAGCAAAUGGUAAUUUGAUUGUUUAGCACAAGGACAAACUACGCAUUGCUUUACUGUAUCAACUAUAAGAUCAGUUUUACUAUGAAGUAACAUUUUGAGAACUGUAGAUGAAGCAUGACCAAACCUCUUGUGCCAAAGAUCCACUUCCUUUGUUGUAGUUGAGUUAUUCUGGUCACUUUCCUUUAUUCCAGCUGUUACUGCUAGGGAUGUUCCAAUCUUUUGUCUUUCUAGUAUAUAUAGUCCAUCAUCCUCCCUACCAAUCGCCCUUACCUUCCCACUGAAGAGUUUCUGAAAUACACAGAAAUUAGGGAAGAAGGUUGUUGAGCACUGCAAUUCCUUUGUCAGUUUAGAAACUUAUAAUAAAUUGAAUUUGAAUGAUGGAACAUAAAACACAUUAGUAAUUGUAUUUCCUUAUGAUAUAGUACUAUCCCCUGUGUGUGUCACAUAUGAAAUAUCUCCAUUUGGCAUGAAUAUUUUCUUUGGUUUUUCAGACUGAAUUACAGUAGACUCAUUUAGCAUAUUCAAAUUUGCCACCAUGUGAUUUGUGGCUCCUGUAUCUAUUAUCCAUUCUUAAAGAUUAUUGGAGACCAUCAUAGCACAACUAAUACCUGUUGUGUUGGCUGCAGGAGUUGAGACUGUGUUUGAGACCUGACUGGUUCCAGACUUGUUGAGAAGUUGAAGUAUCCGAUCAUAUUGCUCUCUUGAGAUGUGCAUCGUGACAUUUGAUUCAACUGAUUGAAAUUGAAUUCAUUCACAUGACCUUUGUCCUUAGAACCCUGAUUUGUAUUCAUAUUAACACUUUGUAAAGGACCUCUUGUUUCAUUAUAACUACCAUAUGUCCGUUGCAUCAUAUUUUCAGUCAUAACAUUGUAGGCAGCAUUGGUUCCAGUUCCUCCUUUCUUUUUUGUCUAUAAUCAGGAGGAUAGCCCAUAAUUUUAUAACAGUUUUCUUUGCUAUGCCCCUUGAGUUUACAAAAGUCACACUGAACAUUGUAAUUUUUCUUGAACCUUUGAUAUCAUAUGGAUCUUGAGUACAUGACUGCAUCAAAGCUUCCUGACAUCAUUGCAGGAUUAGCACCUAAAAUUCCUGUGGCAUUGGUUAUUAACUUCUGACCUUCAUCACUAACUAUCAUAGCAUAAGCUUGAUUAACUGUAGGAACUGGACUUCUCAUUAGAAUCUGACUCAUUGCCUGGGCAUAUGAGUCACUAAGUCCCAUUAAAAACUGAUACAACUUCAGUUUUUGAAGAUAUACCACAAACUCCUUAGAUUUAGGGUAAUCACAACCUGGUGCAGGCACCAAGGCUUCAAACACUUCCCAUAUAUAUUUCAAUUUCGAGAAGUAUACUGAAACAGACGCAGUACCUUGAGACAAUGUUGCAAUUUCUUUAUGCAGAUUAAACGACCUUGAAUCAUCUACCUUGUUAAGCCUCUCAAACAAAUCUUCCCAAACUAAUUGGGCACAGAAGCAUACAUAAUUCCUCCUAGAAGAUUUUUAGACACAGAAUUCAUAAUCCACGAGAAUAAAAUUGUAUUUACUCUCUCCUAGUGGUUCUAUAGAACUUCUGGAAACGUUUCCUUCUUACAUGAACCAUCAAUCAAACCUAACUAAUUUCUUCCUAGCAAGGAAACACGCAUAGAUCGAUUCCAGAUUGAGUAGUUCUCAAUACUUGUGAGUUGAAAUGAAAUGAUCUGAAUAUCGCUCACAUCAGCUGGAGACAGGAAUAGAGGAAGGUUAUAGUCAAUUCCAACUGGUUGAUUUCCAGUUCCAAUCGUUGAAUUUCCAAUUCCAGAGUUCAAUUGAUCCCUUGCAUGUGGUUGAGACCCAGAUCCAUGACCUAAACUUUGUUCGUUUUCCAUUGACAAGAUUUCACAAGAAUUUGAAUUUGAUUUUCAGUAAACAAGAGAUAAAAGAAGGAUCGAUCACAUGAGCUUAGAAUUCAAGCUCUGCCUCUCUGAUACCAUGAACUAAA